UACGUAGGGGGCAAGCGUUGUCCGGAAUCAUUGGGCGUAAAGCGCGUGUAGGCGGUUCGGUAAGUCUGCUGUGAAAGUCCAGGGCUCAACCCUGGGAUGCCGGUGGAUACUGUCGGACUAGAGUACGGAAGAGGCGAGUGGAAUUCCCGGUGUAGCGGUGAAAUGCGCAGAUAUCGGGGAGGAACACCAAUUGCGAAGGCAGCUCGCUGGGACGUUACUGACGCUGAGACGCGAAAGCGUGGGGAGCAAACAGG
rnacentral:rRNA from 1 species